GCCAGUGUGACGUAAUGGUUUGAGUGCUGGACUACAACUCUAGAGACUAGGGUUCAAUUCCCCGCUUGGCA